GGUGCUAGUGUGUAGUGGUUAUCACUCGGGAUUCUGAUGAUUCGGCAUUGUUAUCGUUCCCGAAACCCAGGUUCGAAUCCUGGUAGCACCU